rnacentral:lncRNA from 1 species
UUUAAAACACAAUAUUAAACCGUAGAUAAUUUAGUUUCCAAGAUUCCCAUAGAAUUACAAUUUAUAGACAAUACGAGUUUAGAACUGAAACAUAGUUCAUAGACUCCUUAAAUACUCGUACAGAACCCAUAUAUGUGUCUACCGAGCCUCUAAGGAUACAAAAGAUAAGUAUGAUAAUGCCAGCAACAAGGCCCCGGCUACACCUCAAAGUGGAAGUCCACAACAACAAAAGAUAUACAAUACAACCCCCUCGAAGGAGAAAGGGGCUCACCAAAACUUUGAGAAGAAGGUAAUCCGCUACGUGCGAUCUGCACUAUCCGCAAUGGAGCCACCUGCAUUUAUUUAAAAAUGUAGCGCCCCCGGCAAAAGGGAUAUUAGUACCAUGGAAUAAUACUAGUAUGUAUAACUAAACACCAUUUUACAAGAAAGAACUAUCAAGCAAGGACAAGGAAAUCACAAGAGUAAAUCAAAGGUUUUAACCGGAAACCACAUCAUCAAAUAAACGAACCAUAUAAUCUUUCACAUAAUUUUCAUAACUUAUUUUGGGGCAUUCCUUUCAUAUGUUCAUCAUUGUUCUCAAUACCACCGCUAUCUUGAGUGGAGUCCGAUCACGACCCAAUCGGGUAGGUUGCCUCAUUUGGAACAUAUACCUCAAUCACCAUUUCAUUUCCCUUUUUUGGAAUUUAAUGUUAGCAAAUUACCACCAUGUGUGCAGCAUGGUGUCCGAUCACGGCCCGAUCGGCUAGGCCGCCUUACCUAGGCGUUGUUCCUUUCUCAUUAAUCAUCUCAUUUGAAUCUUUAUUCAUAUAGAUCAUAUCAAUUCAUUGUACUUAGGGCGACGGUUAUCACAUCAUUCCACUUUCAAUGUCCAUCUUGUAAUCUCAGGGUCCUAGGCACACACAAAGCAAUUCAAGUUGCAAGUGUAGGUAAGUUUUCACAUAGUUUUGGAUUUAUUGGAAUAUCAAGAAUAGUAUAUGACACACAUUGAGGCACACCCUUCAUAUGUGUGUGUGUAUAUAUAUAUAUAAUUUUGAAUCAAUUAAUGUGAAAUAAUAAUCAAUACAUCAACCAAUUCUAGUCUUACCACACUUGCGAAAUGGCAACGUACCUCAAUUUCUAGUAAAAGGGGGGUUUUAGCCGUACAUACCUCCAUAUAGCUUUCCUAUACCUUCACAAAAUUUUGGAACUCUUAUCACUUCGAUCUAUUGUGUAAGAAUUACAAAUUGAACCGAGGAUUAGAAACGAGAUUGAGAUUCUAGCUUGUUUGAGCAUAUUAUCAAAUUCUAAGGGUGCAUUAUGAUCUUAGUCCUUUUGAGAGAAAUUUCUAUCAUUUUAUACCCCAAUUUCUUUCUUUUUAGUUCGCUACCUCCCAAUACUCUAUGGUUCAAUAUGCAUGCAAGAAAUCCAUUCUUAUACCCAUGAACCCCCAAGCUAAGCACUCUUUCUAGUGAGAAUUUGAAUCCGGAGAUUAGGGGCCAAGUGUUUUACCUCUUGGGGUGAAAACUUGGGUGCUUCAAUUGAUAAUCUUCAAUGAUUUAGCAAUGAUUCAUGGAUUAAUUUUGAUGAUAAGCACUUUCCGUCUCUUCGCCCCUUUGCUCUUACUCUAGAAGCAUCAGGAAUAUGCUCAAAAUAAGCUAUUACAUCGGAUAUAAUGAUAGGGGGUAGGGUUCAAAAUUUAGAAAAUCAUAGCCUCGAGUUGCAUCUGCGAUCGAAAUGUUAAAAUGCGGCCUGCAAAAUGGACCACAAACAUGCUCCCAAAACCUGUACAAUCUGCCUGGGUAUGCGACAGAAAUGCGGUCCGCAUACCUGUUCUGCGGUCACAUAAUGCACCGCAAAAUUGCCCUUUACAAAAUCCCAAGGGGAUUAUGCGAUGACUAUGUGGUCUGCAUAUUUGACCUCAAAUUACUAACACGUUGAUUGACUCUGAGGCGACUAUGCGGUCCACAUACCUGUUGUGCGACUGUAUAUUGAAUCGCAAAAGUGCACUUUUCUAGAAAGCACACUUUCUUAACUUUUUAAUACACUAAUUAAUCCAAAGGUCCGAACCUCGGCGAGAAUUUUAUGAACUCCUAACACCUGAUACUAACUUGAAACUAUGAGAUUAGGGGCUUUGAGUAGAAAUUCUCACUAGACCUUACAGGUUGUUUCUUGGAUUUCCAAGAGACAGGGCACCACACCAAGAAAUAAAAAAAGUCACUAAUUAACUUCCUAGAAUCACUGCAAAUAGUCCAGUCAGAGUCACAAUAACCUUGAAGUGAAAAUCAAAAGCACCAGAAAGAUGCAAACCUAAAUGAGAAGUACCAGCCAAGUAUCUAAGCACAUGCAAAACAUCAUCUAAAUGAGGAAAUCUGGGUGCUGACAUAAACUGGCUUAAAUGUUGAACAAUGUAAGACAACCCAGGUCUAGUGUGUUGAAGAUAAUUGAGUUUUUCCACAAGUAUUCUAUACAUAGAAGGAUCAGGCAAAGUAUCACCCAAUUCAACAGACAACUUCACAUGUGGAUCAAGGGGAGCCACCACAGAGGAGACAUCAGAAUAGUGAAAUUCAGAAAGCAGAUCCACAAUGAACUUAUAUUGACUGAUGAGAAAACCAGAAUGCUCUUUAGUAAUUUCCAAACCAAGAAAAUAAUGAAUUUCCCUAAGGUCCUUAAUCUUAAAUGCAAUAUCCAGAAAAUGCUCAAGGUUGUCAAUUAUAGUCAAAUCAUCCCCAACAACUAGAAGAUCAUCAACAUACACAACAAUUACAGUUAAAGAACCAUCAAACAACUUAGUAAAUAAAGAGUAAUCAUUGAGACUAGGACGAAAACCUUUAGAUUGGAGAGCAAAUGAUAAUUUGACAUACCAUUGCCUUGAAGCCUACCCCCAUCCAUAAAGAGACUUAUUUAACUUGCAAGCAAGAAAAGAUAAAGAGGCAGAAAAAUUAGAUUGCAUGGUAAGACCAGGAGGGAGCUUCAUAAGCACUUCUUCGUCCAAAUCCCAAUGUAAAAAUGCAUCAUUAACAUCUAUUUGGAAAACCGUCCAAUUUCUUUUCGAAACAAUAGACAUUAAACACCUGAUAGUAGUAAGCUUUACCACAGGAGAAACCGUUUAAGUAAAACCAAUACUUUCCUGUUGACUGUCCCCCCUAAUGAUAGUCUAGCUUUAUAUAUUUCAAUAGAGCCACUAGCCUUUUGUUUAAUCUUAUACACAUAUUUACAAGGAAUGACCUUUUUCCCUGGAGGAAGAGGUACAACAGUCCAAGUGUUGUUGGCCUCCAAGGCCUGAAAUUCUUUAACCAUUGCAUCAUGCGAAGCAUGAUUAGAUAUUGAUUGAUGAUAAAACUAAGGUUCCAACAUGCAAGACCCAGGAAUUGAAAAAGUAGAUUUGGAAUCAGACAUAGAGGUACAUACAUAAUCAGUUAAGUAUCUAGGAGUUUGAUGAACACUAGUAGACUUUCUAAGAGUAGGAACAUGGGAAGCACUUUGAAGAGGUCUAGGAGAUCUUCUAAGAAGAGGAACAAAUUUAAAUGAAGGAAUGGAAGUAGAAGAUGGAAUAGUAGGCAAAGAAGUUGAAGAGGGGAAAGGAUCUGGAAAAAAUUCAGGAUCAUUCAUAGGAGAAGGUGUAAGAUCAAAAUGAAAAAAAGGAAGGAGGAAAUAGAUGAAUAGAGGAAGAAUCAGAGAAAGGAAAGACAUGUUCAUGUAAAAUUACAUUCUCUAGAAUGAAAAAUGGAAGAAGAAGACAAAUUCAGAAGCUUAUAAGAUUUCUGUCUAGGACUCUAACCAGUGAAAAUAGAUGAUAUUGUCCUGGAUUUGCAUGUAUCUCCGUGAGCUUUUGGCCCAUCAGCAGAGGCUAAACAUCCAAAUGCCCUAAGGUGAGAAAAAGAAGGAGGAGGAGCACUAUGUAGAUGUUUAAAGGGAAAUUUAUGUUGUAAUAAGGGAGAAGGACUGUUUAUCAAAUAGGUGGCAGUUAAUAUACAUUCACCUGAAUACUUGAUUGGGAGUUUAGAUUGGAAAAGAAGUGCUCUUGCUGUUUCUAGUAAAUAUUUAUGUUUUCACUCUACUACACCAUUUUGUUGAGGCAUGUGUGGACCAUAAGUUUGACGUAGUAUGCUUUGAGCUGAGAAGAAAGAGAUUGCCUCAGAACUACUCCCUAACUCAAAGGCAUUGUCAGACCUAAAAGCUUUGAGAGGAUAAGCAAACUGAGUUUGAAUCAUAACCACAAAAGACUUAAGUAUGAUGAAAACAUUUAAUUUUGAUAACAAUAAAUGAUGCCCGUGUUGCCCUGAUAUGGUCAUCUAUAAGAGUAAUGAAGUAGUUGGAAUUAUUAUAGGUUUGUGUAUGAUAAGUUCAAAGAUCAACAUGUACCAAUUGAAAAGGGACAGUAGAGGGAAUGGUGCUCUUAUAAAAAGGUAGUCUGCCAUGAUGCAUAUAGGACAUAGAAAAGUUUGUUUCUUAGGUAGCUUGUCAGAAAGGAAAGAUAUGGAUUUCAUUUUAGCAAAUGGAAUAUGACCUAAUUGUAAUUGUCAUGCAUAAUCAAAAGACAAGACAGAAAAUGUAUUAUUAAUAGGUACAUUAAUCGAAGAAUUGAUAAAACCAGAAGUGAAAUUUAAACUGCUCUUAUUGAGAAUAUCACCAAUGACAUUAACAAUAUUUACAAAUAAAGAAUCGCAGGAAUUAAUGAGAGAGAUAUUAUCUGAAUGCAAGAGGUAUAUGCCCUUCUAAAAUUUAUCAAGAACUAGUGGCAUCUUCAAAAAAGGGUUCUACAAUAAAAUGCAAGCAGUUGAAGUGAAUAAGGCAUAACUAGUGAGGUAAAGCAACAACUCAGAUAGGGAAAUCAAAUUUAAUGAAAAGAAGGUACAAUUAACACACAGGGAAGGGAAACAUCGGAAGAAAUAGAAAGUGUCCCUGUGCAAGUCACUUUAACCUUGUACACAUCAGGAAGAGUCACAAGAUAAGGAAAAAUUAAUGAUUUAUAUCCUUAAGGAGAGAUCUAUAAGGUGUCAUGUGAUGAGUAGUGCCACAGUCUAUAAUCCAAACACCACUCUCUAUCCUAGAGACAUUGCAUGCAACAACACUACCAGAAUUAAAAUCAGUAGAAUUUACUAGACCGGCAAACUUUUUAGAACCAUAGGCCAAGUCUUGAGAAGGAGAGGACACCUUAGACUGUUGGAGGAGUGAGACGAGAUGAUCAUACUACUCCUUAGUGAGAACAUGAGCUCCAAUAUCAGUUGGAAUCACCUUGGAGUUGUUUGUUCCCAAAUCCUCAAUUUGUCGCACCAUCUGAGUAUUAGACACUUGUACAUAAGCAACAAUCCUCUUAACUUUGUUCCCAAAAUCAGGAGAAUAUCCAUGUAUUUUAUACAUAUGUCAACGGAGUGGCCAGGCCUUUUACAAUACUUGCAUAAAACAUUGGAAUUGGGCUUUUUAGGAGAAUAAAAAUUGAUUCUUUAGAGUAUAGUCUUCUAAACUACAUUGGAAAAAGAAGCAGAUUCUCAGUUGAAAGAAGGAAUAGAGUUCUUGGCUUCAGCUUGACUCUCAUCCGCAAUAAGCAUCCCAUAGACACUGUCAAUAUUCGGCAAUGGCAUCAUCAUGAGAAUAUUCCUUCUAAUGUAUAGUCCUCAUUUAAUCCCAUAUGAAAUUGAUGAACAUUUUGAUCGUGCUCCAACUUUAGAAAAACUUCCUUACACCCCCACACACAAAGAGGACAAGAAGUGGAAAAUGCCAAUUUAUUCCAGAUUUUCUUAAUUCUAUUAAAAUAUGAAGCUAUACUUGAAGAUCCCUAUGAAAUAGAAGAUACUUCCUUGCAUAUUUGGAACAUUUUACUUCCAUUUGGCUUUCCAUAACGUUGUUCAAUUUUCUCUCCCAACUUCUCAGCAAAUUCCAUAUACAUGACACUCUCUCUGAUCUCCAAAUCUAAAUUGUUUAAAAUCCAUGCUGUAAUCAUGUCGUUACAUUGACACCAUGGUUCAUAUAAAGGAGAAUCCUUACUCGGCUUAACAAUAGACCCAUCAAUCAAACCAACUUGUUCUUACACGAGAGGCCGAUGAGCAUUCCUCUUUGCUAACUUUCAUAACCUAAACCGUUAAAUGUAGUAUCCACUAUCACGAUUCCAGGAGAAUCCGAAGGAUACAGAUAAAGUAGAUAUGAUGGCUCUACUGUCGUAGCUGUCGAACCAGAUGUCAUAGAAGAAGUCCUAGUGACAUUCGAAUUACCAGUCAUUCUUUUUGACAAAAUUAGGGAUCCAAUAGAAAUCAAUUGUUAACAGAUAAAUCAAUAAGCCAAACAAACAAUUAAGCAGAAGAUUGAACUCUGAAUACCAAAUAUGAACAACAAAGUGAAGAAAUCAAAACUCUAAGUCAAAAAUUUGACCGAGAGAAGAGAACUCAACUUAGUCACAAAAACUUUGAAUCAAAAUUCGUUAGCAAUGGCAAACGAAAACCGGAACCACGAGUUAACAAACGUUGGCUCUAAUACCAUAUUAAUAUUCGUAAUUGAGAUUCGACAUAGAACCUUCUGGAGAAGAAAAGCCCUAGAGCAACAAUGAAGAAACGAGAGUCUGUUAUUUUGAUAUAAAAUGAACAUUAGUUUCUAAAUGAAUUAUUGUGUAUAUAUACACUUACAAGUAUAACUGGGUCGGAUCACACACUUUAAGUACAAAUAGAUCCACAUCUGCUCCUUUGUGAUUUGUGGGUUACCUCUGCUUAGAGAUAGAUUGUUGUAUGUUUGGCUGGAAAUCAUCAUAUCGGGCUCUAACACGAACGUUUAUUAUCAAAGGAUAAAAAUAAAUUUGGCUUUAAGCUCAUGCUCCAACUAAUAUUAUCUAAUACCUAUAAUGAAAUAUGGAAUAAAUGUAAUAAGUUUAGAAUUGACCGAACUUUGAAAGAUUUUAUGAAAAUAUGCAUAGGGGCGGAUCUAUAUAGGAGGGAGUGACUUCGCAUGAACCCAUGCUCCCCU